UGUGAGUUUUAGAAUAAUUGUCUGUAGCCUAUAUCGUGGACGUGUACAUUUAUUUGAGUUGUGAAUUUUUGCAUUAAACUCCACAUAAUUUUGGGUAUUUCUGGUUCAGAGCUGCGGGGGUCAUGAGGAGGUGUCUUACGAUGAGGGGAGCAACCGCUGAACCCUCAUUCACCUUUGACCUUUUUCUGGAUGCAGUGAAGUGUGCUGUUUGCUGCCAUAAUGCACCUUCUCUUGGACCCAUCUAAUUAUACCAGCUCGGACCCAUUCUGUGGGUCUCAGUUGGUACAGCUGAGUUACUGGAGACAGAAGAGUCCUGGAUCAGAUCCUGGUGGAGCAUUUUGCAGGUUGAGCUUUGAUCCGCUUUGCAGCUUGUCAAAGCUCACGACCGGCCUACCGUCACACAACCAUGCUUCAGUGACCAGGCUGGGCCUCGAACCAAGGACCCGUACCGGUCAGUGAGGUUGUGUUCAGUCCACUGAGCUACUGACACUUCCACACUCAUGCUUCUUUUUUUGGAAAUUUGUAUUUUUAAUCAUUGAAAGACUAGUGAAAUUAAACAAUUUUUUUCACUGCAAGAGUGAGAUUUGAAACAGGAUUGUCCACAUCAAUGUCUGAAUUUUGGGCGACUGAGCCACUGGCUCUUCCGUAUGUGUGCUACUUUUUUUGGAAUCUUGUCUUAUUCAGUCAUCAAGAGCUGAUGUUCAGAGCACUGAGCCACCAGCUCUUCCAUGAGCCACUCACUUUUUUUCUGGAGUUUUAUCUUUUUUAUUUAUUCAAAGACCAGUGAAAUCAAACAAAUGUUCCAGCUCAAUAGAGGGAUUUAAACCUGGAUCUCCCACAUAAAGGGCUGAUGUUCACACCACUGAGCCACUGGCUCUUCUGCAUGGCUUCCCUCCUUUUUAUGGGAAUUUUUAUUCAGUCAGAAAUCAGUCAAAAUAAACUUUUUUUUUCACGGCAAGAAUGAGACUCAAACCAGGAUGGUUUGAACAUUGAAGUCUGACUUUCAGCUGACCGAGCCACUGGCUCUUACGUGUGUGUGCUGCUUUUUUUUUUAUCUUAUCUUAUCUUAUUCAGUCAGAAACCAGUUGAACUAAACUAUUUUUCCACUUAAAAAGAGCUUGGAAUUAGGAGCUCCCACAACAAGAACUGAUGUUCAGACCACUGAACCAACAACUCUUUCAUGUGCACCUUACUUUUGGGGUUUUUUAAAUAUUUUUUUAUUUAUUCAAAGAUCAGUGAAAUUAAACUAUUUUCCAAUAGAGGGAAUCAAACCUGAAUUUUCCACAUCAAGAGCUGAUGUUCACAGAACUGAACCACUGACUCUUUUGUGUGUGACUCACUUGGAGUAUUGUCUGUCUUAUUCAGUCAGAAACCAGUGGAACUAAACAGUUUUUCUUACAUCAAGAACUGAUGUUCAGACCACUGAGCCAUUGGCUCUUUGCAUGUGUAUCACUUUUUUUUUUUUUUGGAGUUUUGUUGGGCUUAUUCAAUCAGAAACCAGUGAAAAGCUCAAUUUAACCACAAGAGUGAGAUUUGAACCAGGACUGCCUGUGCCAAAAAGAGACGUUUAAACCACUGAGCCACUGGCACUUCAACACAGAUGCUGUGUUUUUUGAGUUUUGUUUGUCUUAUUUGUGCAAAAACAUUGUAAUGAAUGAGGUGUGAACUUGGAUAUUCCAC